AGCUUGAUGAUGAUUGCUUUUAUAAUGAGUAAAAUGAAAACAACUUCACCGGCUCUGAAAGCU
ensembl:snoRNA SNORD102 small nucleolar RNA, C/D box 102